CCUACGGGCGGCAGCAGUGGGGAAUAUUGGGCAAUGGGCGCAAGCCUGACCCAGCAACGCCGCGUGAAGGAAGAAGGCUUUCGGGUUGUAAACUUCUUUUGUCAGGGACGAAGCAAGUGACGGUACCUGACGAAUAAGCCACGGCUAACUACGUGCCAGCAGCCGCGGUAAUACGGAGGUGGCAAGCGUUAUCCGGAUUUACUGGGUGUAAAGGGCGUGUAGGCGGGGAAGCAAGUCAGAUGUGAAACCCACGGGCUCAACCUGUGGCCUGCAUUUGAGACUGUUUUUCUUGAGUGCAGGAGGGGCAAGCGGAAUUCCGUGUGUAGCGGUGAAAUGCGUAGAUAUACGGAGGAACACCAGUGGCGAAGGCGGAUUGCUGGACAGUAACUGACGCUGAGGCGCGAAAGCGUGGGGAGCAAACAGGAUUAGAUACCCUUGUAGUC
rnacentral:rRNA from 1 species